rnacentral:rRNA from 1 species
AUUGAACGCUGGCGGCGUGCUUAACACAUGCAAGUCGAACGAAGUGGCGAACGGGUGAGUAACGCGUAAUCAACCUGCCCUUGAGAGGGGGACAACAGUUGGAAACGACUGCUAAUACCCCAUACUGAAGUUGGGGAUUGCGUGUGAUUAGCUAGUUGGAGGGGUAACGGGCCACCAAGGCGAUGUUCAGUAGCCUGGCUUGGGAGGUGAACGACCAAAAUGGGAAUGAGGCACGGGCCAGGAUUCUCCGGGAGGGAGGCGGGGGGGAAUAUCCGAAAUGGAGGGAAGUCCGACGGAAGCCAGCCGGGGGGUGUGUGAAGGGCCUCGGGUUUGAAAGCUCUUUUAAUCGGGGAGCGUUACCGGCAGAGAAAGCAACGGCUAACUACGUGCCAGCAGCCGCGGUAAUAC